rnacentral:rRNA from 1 species
GAUGAACGCUGGCGGCGUGCCUAAUACAUGCAAGUCGAGCGAACAGACGAGGAGCUUGCUCCUCUGACGUUAGCGGCGGACGGGUGAGUAACACGUGGAUAACCUACCUAUAAGACUGGGAUAACUUCGGGAAACCGGAGCUAAUACCGGAUAAUAUAUUGAACCGCAUGGUUCAAUAGUGAAAGACGGUUUUGCUGUCACUUAUAGAUGGAUCCGCGCCGCAUUAGCUAGUUGGUAAGGUAACGGCUUACCAAGGCAACGAUGCGUAGCCGACCUGAGAGGGUGAUCGGCCACACUGGAACUGAGACACGGUCCAGACUCCUACGGGAGGCAGCAGUAGGGAAUCUUCCGCAAUGGGCGAAAGCCUGACGGAGCAACGCCGCGUGAGUGAUGAAGGUCUUCGGAUCGUAAAACUCUUUUAUUAGGGAAGAACAAAUGUGUAAGUAACUAUGCACGUCUUGACGGUACCUAAUCAGAAAGCCACGGCUAGCUACGUG